rnacentral:lncRNA from 1 species
GUAGUUAUGUGUUUUUCCCCACUAAUAAAGCACAUGGUACCGCCCACAUGCAUUCUCAAACAUUUCUUUUACUGCUUUUUAAAACCACUUGCAAGAAAGCAGAAGCUUUUUCUCUUCUGAAAAUACCAUUUCCGUUCUUCACCUUCCUUCUUCAUCCAUGGAUACUGCUAAAUGGCCUGAGGUAAUUAGAUCCAUAACCCUUUUUUUGGUGAUCCCUUGAUUUUGUGUCUUAAUUUUCUUCAGCUAUUUCUUUUUAUCAUAUUUGUAUAUAUGCUCUUCUAAAAAUUGACAUUUUAAUUUUAAUUUUAAUUUUUUUUUUAAUUCUAAAGCUUGAUUUCAAAUUAUGUACUUUAUCUAUUGCUUUUGUGGUAGGCUGAGAAAAGAUUAAAUUUCUUAAUCUACUUAUUUCUUCUUCACUUUUCUUGUUUUGUUUCUGUUCAUGAUCUUUAAAAAGGUGUAAAGCACCUGACUUUGUUUGUUUGUUUCCUUCCUGUUUGUAUAUGUUUUUGCUCUGAAAUUGUGGGAGUUAGUUUUCCUAUUUGUUUGUUCUUGAAGCAAAAUUUUAUACUUUUUGAUGAUAUUUAUUUUUGGGUUUUUAGGAUAUAGUGAUGAAACAGAUGGAAGAGAUAGUAACAUGUCCAAAACCUUCUUUAGAAAGGAAAAGGCCUCAGAAAGAACAAGCUGUGAAUUGUCCAAGGUGCAAUUCAACAAAUACAAAGUUUUGCUAUUACAACAAUUACAGUCUCUCUCAGCCAAGGUAUUUUUGCAAGACAUGCAGAAGAUAUUGGACAGAAGGUGGAUCUUUAAGAAAUAUUCCUGUUGGAGGGGGUUCAAGAAAGAACAGAAGAUCACAUAAUUCUGCUAAUUCUUCUUCUUCAAUUUCACCAAAAAAUGUCCCUGAUCUAGUUUUACAAAACCCUAAAAUCCACGAUAACCAUGAACUCAACUUGGGAUUUUCGACCCAGAAUGAUUUCAAGGCUAUAAAUGAACUGAUUCAAGUUCCCAACUUUGAUAUUAAUGGGAACAAGGAAUUAAACAAUCGUUCUUCUUCUUCACCUUCA